GAUUGUGGGUGAUUGUCUCCCAUGCUCGGAUGCUCAGUCUCGGGCCGUGGUGUUUGGCAGAAAUGAGUGAUUUUUCAGAAUGUUGGAAGGUGCCCACAACUGGCACUAGAGUAUUUUUUGUCACUUCCAAGCACCUAUGGACGGUCCUUUGCUUCAUUCUAGGUCAGGCCGCCUGCAGAUAAUAGACCCUUUCCUCUGCUGCCUUAUUGCCAGUUACAUUAAAUACAGUCUCUGACAAGAGUUUAUGAAUACUUUACUGUAGUCAACAUCCGUGUGAGCAUAUACAAUGGUCCCCGUGCAGAAAAAGAUUCCAUUGAGCCAAAAGAUAGCAGUAAUUCCAUUAGUGAUACUGAAAGUUGUCCUACACAAUAGCCCUCCCCUCUCUCAUCUCCCUCACACCAGCCACGAAGGCUUUCAAAGAGAGAGAGAGAAUCCGAAGCAGGCGCCUCUGACAGGGGGGCUCAUCUCCGGAAGCGUGAGCUCAUGACCCAGGCCGCAGCUAAGAGUCGGACGCUUAACCGACUGAGCCACCCAGGUGCCCCACGUGCACAUAUUUUGAAAUGUAAUUAUUCAAUAAUGAUUGAAUUAAAAUGAAA